rnacentral:ncRNA from 1 species
GUCAGACAAAGGCAAACUUAUUGAAAAAUAGGGACGCAAAGUCACAGAUCUAAGGUAGGAAAAUGAGUACAUCGAAUACAGACACGUACAUAGGAAAGCAGUACCCAUUGGACGACUAUGAUGGCUGGAUUGCCUGA